rnacentral:misc_RNA from 1 species
GGCUAGAGUGGUACAAGAAAGUAACCCUGAAAGAAGGAGGCUACUAUGAUAGUUACAAACGCAGUGAGUAUCGAGGCAGGGAUGCUGUCAAAAGCAGACAAGAAAUUGUCAAGCACCAAAGAGUCCUCACUAAGUACUGGAAAACAAUGGUUGCAGAAGCAGAGAAAAUGCCACAAAGAGAGGAGGCAGUUUUUCGUACUCGUUGGCUGUAUGCAGGGACAAACUAUAGAAGGAUGGUCGAACCACUCGACAUAGCUGCAUACUAUAUGAAACCAGGGAACACAGACUAUGUAAAUCUUGGUAGAUCCGAGCACUAUAAAAAGUUGGAGGAAUGGAGGAGAGAAG